CUUCACUAAUUUUAAAAUGGUAAAUGUUUUAUUUUAAAAAUAUUUUCAUGUUUACAUACAAUAUUUUCUGCGCAUCCUCAGUUCAUGUCCUCCAUCGGACCCACCUCAAUGACGUUAGUGAUUUCGGUUCUCCGCUUGAGUAACGUUAACAGGCGUGUUAUUUUGUGAAAGAACAGCGGCUCAAGGUACGGUACCGACUGUUAAUACUUCAGGGAGCUGAUGAAUCCAGGAUGGAUAUUUUUGACGAUGUCACUCUAUCGGUAUUGGAGGCGGCCAGUGUUGAUGAGGAGGCUUUGAAAGGCCUUAGCCGGGAUGACCUGAGGGAUCUUUUUCCUGGCCCUGAACAUUUUUUCAGAAGAAAGAAACUUUGGGAUUUCAUCAGU